UUUCGGAGAGUUUGAUUCUGGCUCAGAACGAACGCUGGCGGCGUGGAUAAGACAUGCAAGUCGAACGAGACUUAGCAAAGCUUGCUUUGCUAAGUCUAGUGGCGAACGGGUGAGUAACACGUGAGCAACCUGCCCAGAAGCAGGGGAUAAUCAGCCGAAAGGUUGUUGUAAUACCCCAACAGAUUGCAAGAGACAUCUCUUGUGGAUUAAAGCGGGGGCGCCUUUUAGGCACCUCGCGCUUCUGGAUGGGCUCGCGGCCUAUCAGCUAGUUGGUGAGGUAAUGGCUCACCAAGGCAACGACGGGUAACUGGUCUGAGAGGAUGAUCAGUCACACUGGAACUGAGACACGGUCCAGACACCUACGGGUGGCAGCAGUCGAGAAUCAUUCACAAUGGGCGAAAGCCUGAUGGUGCGACGCCGCGUGGAGGAUGACAGCCCUAGGGUUGUAAACUCCUGUCAUGAGAGAGUAAAGACUUACCGUUAAUACCGGUGGGUCCUGAUAGUAUCUCAAGAGGAAGGGACGGCUAACUUCGUGCCAGCAGCCGCGGUAAUACGAAGGUCCCAAGCGUUGUUCGGAAUUACUGGGCGUAAAGCGUGCGUAGGCGGCAUGGUAAGUCAGAUGUGAAAUCCCGGGGCUCAACCUCGGAACUGCAUCCGAUACUGCCAAGCUAGAGUAGUGGAGGGGAGUCUGGAAUU
rnacentral:rRNA from 1 species